rnacentral:sRNA from 1 species
AAGGAAGAGGCCGACAUUGAAGGCCAUCAGCGGCCCGACGAUGUGCUUGGCCUGAGCGUACUGGCCGCC